GGGUUGUUGUGUUCAUCUCUUCCCUUCCUCGAUCUUGAGUUUUCUGAGAGCAUCUCAGAUUUGAAACUCCUUCUCUUAAUUCUCAUCUUUGGAAGAGUCCAAAUCAAGAAGAAAGAGGCACCUGAUCAACCAUCGAAGAAGGAUCAGCGCAGUACUAGCAUACUGUGCUGAUUUUCUGGAGCAGGACUUCUGAUCGAGAUUCAUGAGCUCGUGUGGAUGACUCCUAGAGGUCGGACGCGUGUGCAGCUCGCAACAUCAUCCUUAAGCCUGGAUCAGUAAGGUUAGAACGUUUAACUUGCAA
rnacentral:lncRNA from 1 species